AUUUUAUUUAUUUAUUUAUUUAUUUUAUUUAUUCACUUUUGGAUUUUCCCCAUUUUAAUUUUUAAUUUUUAGUUUUUUUUCUUUUAGCUUUUUUUAAUUAUCGAGGGAAAGAAUUUUUGGUGUUAUGUAUACUCACAAAUCCUCUAAAACACCCCCACCAAAAUGUUUCUAUUUUUUUUUACUUAAUCCUUCCUAAUUUUUAAAAUUCUCUCCUCCUUUAUCAUCUAAACUUUUAAAUAAAA
rnacentral:lncRNA from 1 species